GCUUACGGCCAUACCACCCUGAGCACGCCCGAUCUCGUCUGAUCUCGGAAGCUAAGCACGGUCGGGCCUGGUUAGUACUUGGAUGGGCGACCGCCUGGGAAUACCAGGUGCUGUAAGCU
rnacentral:rRNA from 1 species